GAUGAACGCUAGCUACAGGCUUAACACAUGCAAGUCGUGGGGCAGCAUGAAGGAAGCUUGCUUCCUUUGAUGGCGACCGGCGCACGGGUGAGUAACGCGUAUCCAACCUGCCAUAUACUCGGGUAUAGCCCGGUGAAAACCGAAUUAACCCCCGAUAGUGUCCUUUGCAGGCAUCUAAUUAGGACUAAAGUUCACGGUAUAUGAUGGGGAUGCGUCUGAUUAGCUUGUUGGCGGGGUAACGGCCCACCAAGGCGACGAUCAGUAGGGGUUCUGAGAGGAAGGUCCCCCACAUUGGUACUGAGACACGGACCAAACUCC
rnacentral:rRNA from 1 species